AAACCAACUGGGAUUACCUUAGUAACGGCGAGUGAAGCGGUAAAAGCUCAAAUUUGAAAUCUGGUACUUUCAGUGCCCGAGUUGUAAUUUGUAGAAUUUGUCUUUGAUUAGGUCCUUGUCUAUGUUCCUUGGAACAGGACGUCAUAGAGGGUGAGAAUCCCGUUUGGCGAGGAUACCUUUUCUCUGUAAGACUUUUUCGAAGAGUCGAGUUGUUUGGGAAUGCAGCUCAAAGUGGGUGGUAAAUUCCAUCUAAAGCUAAAUAUUGGCGAGAGACCGAUAGCGAACAAGUACAGUGAUGGAAAGAUGAAAAGAACUUUGAAAAGAGAGUGAAAAGUACGUGAAAUUGUUGAAAGGGAAGGGCAUUUGAUCAGACAUGGUGUUUUUUAAAUGUGCAAGUCUCUCGUGGACAUGUGCCUCUGGAAAUUAACACUGGGCCAACAUCAGUUCUGGCGGCAGGAUAAAUCAUUAAGAAUGUAGCUACCUCGGUAGUGUUAUAGCUUUUUGGAAUACUGCC
rnacentral:rRNA from 1 species